rnacentral:tRNA from 1 species
AGCCCCGGGGUGUUACACGUUGGAUUGCAAAUCCGAAGAGGCAGACUAAUAAGCUGCCGGGGCUU